rnacentral:rRNA from 1 species
GAAUCCCUUAAAGCCGGUCUCAGUCCGGAUCGGAGUCUGCAACUCGACUCCGUGAAGUCGGAAUCGCUAGUAAUCGUGAAUCAGAAUGUCACGGUGAAUACGUUCCCGGGCCUUGUACACACCGCCCGUCACACCAUGGGAGUGGACUGCACCAGAAGUGGUUAGCCUAACGCAAGAGGGCGAUCACCACGGUGUGGUUCAUGACUGGGGUGAAGUCGUAACAAGGUAGCCGUAGGGGAACCUGCGGCUGGAUCACCUCCUUA